AAACUUUCAACAACGGAUCUCUUGGUUCUGGCAUCGAUGAAGAACGCAGCGAAAUGCGAUAAGUAAUGUGAAUUGCAGAAUUCAGUGAAUCAUCGAAUCUUUGAACGCACAUUGCGCCCGCCAGCAUUCUGGCGGGCAUGCCUGUUCGAGC
rnacentral:rRNA from 2 species